GACGAACGUUGGCGGCGUGCUUAACACAUGCAAGUCGAACGGAAAGGCCCUGCUUUUGUGGGGUGCUCGAGUGGCGAACGGGUGAGUAACACGUGAGUAACCUGCCCUUGACUUUGGGAUAACUUCAGGAAACUGGGGCUAAUACCGGAUAGGAGCUCCUGCUGCAUGGUGGGGGUUGGAAAGUUUCGGCGGUUGGGGAUGGACUCGCGGCUUAUCAGCUUGUUGGUGGGGUAGUGGCUUACCAAGGCUUUGACGGGUAGCCGGCCUGAGAGGGUGACCGGCCACAUUGGGACUGAGAUACGGCCCAGACUCCUACGGGAGGCAGCAGUGGGGAAUAUUGCACAAUGGGCGGAAGCCUGAUGCAGCAACGCCGCGUGCGGGAUGACGGCCUUCGGGUUGUAAACCGCUUUCGCCUGUGACGAAGCGUGGGUGACGGUAAUGGGUAAAGAAGCACCGGCUAACUACGUG
rnacentral:rRNA from 1 species